rnacentral:rRNA from 1 species
GAUGAACGCUGGCGGCGUGCCUAAUACAUGCAAGUCGAGCGAACGGACGAGAAGCUUGCUUUUCUGAUGUUAGCGGCGGACGGGUGAGUAACACGUGGAUAACCUACCUAUAAGACUGGGAUAACUUCGGGAAACCGGAGCUAAUACCGGAUAAUAUUUUGAACCGCAUGGUUCAAAAGUGAAAGACGGUCUUGCUGUCACUUAUAGAUGGAUCCGCGCUGCAUUAGCUAGUUGGUAAGGUAACGGCUUACCAAGGCAACGAUGCAUAGCCGACCUGAGAGGGUGCGCGGCAACAGUGAGACGAGACCCGGGACAGGACCCCGAGGGGGGGCACAAGGAGGGAUUCUUCCGCAAGGGGCGAAGCCCGGGAGGAGCAACGCGGCGGGAGUGAUAAAGGUCUUGGUAUCGAAAAACUUUUUUAUGGGGGAAAAACAUAUGUGUAAGUAACUGUGCACAUCUUGGGGGACCCUAAUAAGAGGACCCGGGCAAACCACGGG